GGCAGGCUGCUGAGAGGGCAGGGCCUUUCCCCCCAUGGUUCCCUGCUGUUUCUUUGUGGCCAUGCUGGCCCCUCUGGUGUUAGCCCUGGAACAGUCUCCAGACAUGGUGAUCAAAGAAGGCCAGUCUGUGAAACUGGAAUGCUCUGAGAAAAAAUCCUCCAACAGAGUUAUGUACUGGUUUCGGCAGCCUUCACAGAAGAAUUCCAGUCUGACCCAGUUGGUUUAUGCCUAUGAAGGCCUUAAUGCAGAGGUGGAGAAGGGUUUUGAGAGGCAUUUCAAGAGCAGCAAGAUAGAAGGAGACAGUAUCACCCUCUCAAUAGAACAUGCCGUUCUCAAUGACUCUGGCACAUACUACUGUGCUGAGAGUGAACACAGUGCCUUGCCUUCCUCCUCUUCUCAGAUGCUGACAGAUUAUUUGUCCAUCAUUGUCUCCUUGCCACUCCAGGCCUCCCUCUGCAUUUAA